CCAUGAAAAUGACAGAUGAAAAUAGAAAAGUGUGGCUGGUCUGAAGGUUUGACGUCAAUAAAGGGAAACUGCCACAAUUUUUAUACUGCUAUUUCUAAAGAUGUCACUUAUAAGGAACUUAAAAACCUGUUGAAUUCUAAAAAUAUUAUGUUAAUUGAUGUUAGAGAGAUAUGGGAAAUUCUGGAGUAUCAAAAAAUCCCUGAGUCUAUCAAUGUACCAUUGGAUGAAGUAGGUGAAGCUCUACAGAUGAAUCCAAGAGACUUCAAAGAGAAGUACAAUGAAGUAAAACCAUCCAAAUCUGACAGCUAGUGUUUUCUUAUUUAGCCGGAGUGAGAAGCAAGAAGGCCCUGGACACAGCAAUAUCUCUGGGCUUUCACAGUUCUGGAGGUCAGAAGUCCUAAAUGUCAUCCUUUCCUUUCACUGGUGUGCCACAGCAAGAUGGUGGUGCAGUUUUUCAAGAAGAGGAAGUUUGUCAUUGAUGGUAUCUUCAAAGCUGAACUGAAUGAAGUUCUCAUUCAGGAGCUGGCUGAAGAUAGCUACUCUGGAGUUGAGUUACUAUGAGAGGUGUGUUAAAAUCUCUCUCUGAAAGAAAGAAAGAAAGAAGAAAAGAAAGAAAGAAAGGAAAGAAAGAGAGAAAGAAAGAGACAACCGUGAAGCUUGCUGCAUCAGUGGACUCUUCCUUUCACAAAACAUUUUUCUGUAGUAUGCUAUGCUGUUUGACAGCAUUUUACUCACAGUAGAACUGCUUUCAAAAUUGGAGUCAGUCCUCUCAGGCCUUGCCAAUACUUUCUCAACUAAGUUUAUGUAGUAUUGUAAUUCCUUUGUUGUCAUUUAAACAAUGUUCAUAGCAUCUUCACCAGGAAUAGAUUCCAUCUCAAG
rnacentral:lncRNA from 10 species